GAGAGGAAAAAUUUGACUGAUUGCAACCUCACUAAAAAAUGCUAAAACAGAAUU
rnacentral:ncRNA from 1 species